UAGUAAAACGGAAGAGAAGGACAUGUUUGAGCCGGGACCUUGAAAGAGACGACGAUAUUAUGGCCACAUGAGUGAAGAAUCCAGAUGUUUGUGUCUACAAACUUCCUUGAGGAAUAACUCACAAGGCUUUUUUGGAGGGAGUUUGUAAAGGCUAACCAGCGGCAGGGUUUUACGUCGACGAGUGCCAAACGCCGCCGAUGUGUGAAACAGGAAGCUAACUUGAGCCACUCACGCCACCCCACACGGCUAACAAGCUGAAGAAAGUAAUCUUGGCAGGAAUUGCAAGAACGGGCAACAUGCGGGCGGGUGGAAGAGGAAGAAAUCAGAGGGACGACUGGAUGCAAAACACAGGAUGGCUGAGUCGAGGAGGCUAAACGAGGAGCUCGGGUAACGAGUGACGUAGCGGCGGCGGUCGAGGGAAACACAGAUGCUGUAAACAUCCUGUGGAAACCUCGCUCUCUCUAAGUCUUUGUCAGCACUAAGCAUCAGAACAGCUGAUCAUCAACAAGCAAGCGAUGCAUAUUCAUGGUGUUGUGACAUCUGCCUGGUAAAAAUUUAAGCUUCUUAGUGUUUAAGCACAUAGCGUUUGUAACACUAGGACACAUGUUGGAGAAAUAAUAAUGAAGAAAUAAGAAAUAAAUCCCUCUUCAAAUUUAAA